rnacentral:lncRNA from 1 species
UUAGGUCUACAAAUAUUUCUAUUUCCAAAGCUUUUGUCUCACAAUUUUUAUACACGCAGUGAGUUUCUAAUAAUCCCCUACAGGGAGUCUCUAUAGUUAAUGUUUUUGUUAAAGGUUCAGGCCUAACAUUUAAUUUACAAGUAAAUGCAAAAAAGAUAAAAGAGUGGGUAGCACCUAUAUCAAUCAAAGUCUUAGUAAAAGUAUCAUGAAUUGAAAGCAUACCCUGGAUAAGGACAGGAGUGGGGAAGGCACUGGUUUCAUCUAGGUGGUGAACACAACCUUAGGCUGUAGGUCU